AUGAAGAUUGUUCGCCAUGAUUUACUCUCUAUCAUUCAGCUCUUUGUUAAAACUUUCAUUCUUUUCAAUGUAUUUGAUUCUAAAAAAAUAUGUACAAAAUUAGGAAUAUUGUUGAAAAGCAGUAUUUACCUUGUUCUUUGUCCCAAGCACAUUUUACCUUUAAGCAAUAGCUUCUUCUCAUAUUUGUUCACUUGUCACGGUAGGAGUUGA